rnacentral:rRNA from 1 species
UACGAAGGGGCUAGCGUUGCUCGGAAUCACUGGGCGUAAAGGGUGCGUAGGCGGGUUUUAAGUCAGGGUGAAAUCCUGGAGCUCAACUCCAGAACUGCCUUUGAUACUGAAGAUCUUGAGUUCGGGAGAGGUGAGUGGAACUGCGAGUGUAGAGGUGAAAUUCGUAGAUAUCGGGAGGAACACCAGUGGCGAAGGCGGCGAUCUGGGAAGAUACUGACGCUGAGGUGCGAAAGCGUGGGGAGCAAACAGG